AAAACCCCCAAAAGGAGCUCGGGAUCAGGCAGCAGAGCAGCAAAGCCUCCCAAAAUCCCAGAAAAUCCAAAAAAAAUCCCAAAAAGAGCCGGGAUCGGGCAGCAAAGCCCCGGGAUUUGUUUGGACCAGCGGGAACGGGAGCCGGGGAAAGGGCUGGAAAAUCGGGAAUUGCCAUCUCUGACACUUUUUUGGGGAUAAAACCGCUGAUUUCGGGGCUUUUAACACCAGGCUUUUUCAUUUUCCUGAUUUUUCCUGAAGCUGGCAGAGUUGUUGGGAGAAUCCAACCCUUUAUCCCGCUUGUUUUUUAGCUCCAAAUUGCAUUUUCCACUUUAAAUUUUGGGUUCAUAUCCAUAAAAAUUCCAUCUUGGAAGGAGUUUUUUGCUCCUCGCUUUUCCCUGGAAGGGUUUAAAGCCUGGUCCCUGAUUUUCUGACUCUUUAUCCGUGGGGUUUUUGUGGGAAUUUGGAGCCAGAAGCCCCAGGAGAGCAGCGUGUGAGGGUGGGAUAAUUCAGGGUUUGUGUUUUGUAGGACUUUUCCCUGUUUUUGUGGGUUUUUCCCGUUUUUCUGGGAGUUUUCUGGGGUUUUCCAUUGCUUUUGUGGGAUUGAUCCUUUCUGAGUGUGGAUUUUCCUUUCUUUUGGCAGGAUCCAACACAUUCAAAAAGUCCCUGACUCCUGAGAUGCCGGGAGGAUCCCAGACCAUCCGGAAAGGCCACCGAGGAGUGGAUUCCACAGGGGAAACCACCUACAAAAAGGUAAAUUCCCACUUGUUUUUCCCGGGAUCGCAGUGGGAAUGGGAAGAGAUUCCAUGGAAAUGGAGGAAAAAGGGAAUUUUGGGUUUUUUUUCCCCUAUUUUAAUUGUCAUGUAAUAUCCGUUCCUGCUGAGUUUCUGUUCCAGUUGAAUUUCUCUCGUUCCCAUUGAAUUCUUGCAGUUCCUAUUUUUGUUGAAUUCCACCUGUUCCCAUUGAAUCGCUCCCAUUCCAAUUGGAUUUUUGUUCCCAUUCCCAUUGAACUCCCCUUGCCUUUCCCACCAAAUCCCUCCCAUUCCCUCUGCGCUCCUGCCGUUCCCAGCCCCGUUCUCACUGUAAUUCCCAGCUCCAUUCCCGUUGCCAUUCCCAUUAUAAUUCCCAUCUCCAUUCCCAUUCCCACU
rnacentral:lncRNA from 1 species